GUGAUUUGUGAAUGUCACGUGUCAUCCAUCAGGACGGGUCUCACCUGCUAACCGUGAGACCUGAUUUUAUAUAAUUUUUUUCCAUCCCUCUUCGGUACACCUGCGCGUGCGGAGAGGAAAUCGAGGGGUUGGCCGCGGGCACGGAGCAUACCAGGAAAUGCGAGGAAGCGAAGAAGGCGGCCCAGGCGGCGAAGGCUCAUGAGCUGGCGGCCCAGAGGGCGCGGGAGUUGGAGCUGGAGGCCGCGCGUAGGGGCCGCGAUUAAACAACUCAGCAAAGGCAGGCAUCAAGGGCAGGGGAAGAACAAAACAGCAAGUGCUGUAUCAUGGCGAAAUAAAGCACAAUGUCAGGAGAUUCAUCUGUUCUACUGAUAUAAUGUACUCCUUUGAACAUAUUAUGUCUUGCCUAUUUUGAACUCCUAUGAACAUAUUACUUCACAUAUUACCUGCCGUGCUCACAUAUUACCUGUCUGC